rnacentral:lncRNA from 1 species
UGGUUCCAGUUAGGACAGAGUUAAUUUUCCUCCUAGUAGCUGGUAGGGUACUAUGUUUUGGAUUAGGAUGAGAAGAGCGCUGAUAACAUGCUGAUGUUUUAAUUGUUGCAGAGCAGUGUUUACACCAGGCCAAGGACUUUUCAGCUUCUCGCUCUGUCCUGCCAGCGAGCAGGCUAGGGGUGCAGCAGGAGCUGGGAGGGGACAGACGCAGGACAGCUGACCCAAACUGGCCAAAGGGGUAUUCCAUACCAUCUGACGUCAUGCUAAACAAUAUAUAGGGGUGGCUGGCCGGGGUGGGGGGCUGGCUGCUCGGGGAUAGGCUGGGCAUCGGUCAGCGGGUGGUGAGCAAUUGCACUGUGCAUCACUUGUUUCUUAACCCAUUAUUAUUAUUAAUACUAUUAUCAUUAUCACUAUUGUUGUUAUUGUUAUUAUUAUAUUCCUGUCUUAAUAAACUGUCUUUAUCUCAACUCACAGGCUUCACUUUCCCGUUUCUCUCCCCCAUCCCAGAGAGGGAGUUGGGAGGGUGAGCAAACGGCUGUGUGGUGUUUAGCUGCCAGCCGGGUUAAACCACAACAGUAACGGACAGGAGGCAAAGGACAGCUCACACUGGAUUCACAAAAAAUAUAGAGAGAAGAACCAGAGGAGACUUCUGAGAACAGUAAAUUUUGUGCAGUUAGGGCUGGAUACAAGUGUCCACUGGGGGAGAAACUACUUCUGAACCAGAUUCUCAGCUGUACUGAUCCUAAGGAAAUGAGUGCCAUUCCUACCACACCUACGAAAACAUUCCCUGUUUUGGAAGUCAGCAGUGGCUCAAAGGGACCAGUUGCAAUACCAAAACAGCAUGCUGGAAGCAACCCAAAUCGUGGCAAGCAAAUCACAUCCACUCAUCUGGGAAUUAAUUCUGUU